UACACAGUACAGGGAAAUGGGAUAGCACAGUGGUUGAGACCAACCUGAGAUCCUGGGUUCACCUCCAGCUGUGCAGCCUCAGGCAGGUUAGUUAACCUCUCUGAGCUUCAGAUUACUGACUCACAAAGUGAGGCUAUUGAUAGGACGCACCUCACAAGGUUGUGGCAGGUUAUGUCAUGUACAAUGUUUAGACUGGUGUCGUCCGAGAAAACUUCAGAAGUGAUGAACACGUGGCUCUUAAGCCCUUGAAAUGUGGCUUAGUGUGACUGAGGAAAUUAUAGAUUGAUAAACUGAUCGAAAUGUAAAGAGCCACAGGUGGCCAGUGGCUACUGUAGUGGAUGACACAGGCUUGAAACAACACUUGGCAAACAGUCUCACCUCUUCAGGACACUUCUGGGUCCUUGACUACCUCAGCUCCAAUGGGGGGAUUUCUCCCUCCACAUUCCAAUUUGAAUCUGUUGUGUAACAAGUAUUGGUGAGGCUGUGAAGACAUGGGAACUCUCAUGAGCUGCUGGUGGGACCACAGAGUGACCAGGACCCAGCAAUUCUGCCCCUAGUUUCUCCAGACCAAAGAGAGGUGUUUUGGACAUGAAGGUGAUGACUGCAGCUUCUCACCUGAAACACGCCACAGUGACAAGGACCUCGAGAUUCAAAGCAAGUCAACUCAAAGUUCCCUCCAAGUCUUUUUCUCCUCCUUGUGUGUGUGUGUGUGUGUGUGUGUGUGUGUGUGUGUGUGUGUGGCGGUUUGUCUCCAAAAGUCAGUUUUGCAAGUUGAAACUUCAUGAAAUUACUCGUAGCAGAAAUAAAG
ensembl:lncRNA